rnacentral:rRNA from 1 species
GACGAACGCUGGCGGCGUGCUUAACACAUGCAAGUCGAACGGAAAGGCCCUGCUUUUGUGGGGUGCUCGAGUGGCGAACGGGUGAGUAACACGUGAGUAACCUGCCCUUGACUUUGGGAUAACUUCAGGAAACUGGGGCUAAUACCGGAUAGGAGCUCCUGCUGCAUGGUGGGGGUUGGAAAGUUUCGGCGGUUGGGGAUGGACUCGCGGCUUAUCAGCUUGUUGGUGGGGUAGUGGCUUACCAAGGCUUUGACGGGUAGCCGGCCUGAGAGGGUGACCGGCCACAUUGGGACUGAGAUACGGCCCAGACGCCUACGGGAGGCAGCAGUGGGGAAUAUUGCACAAUGGGCGGAAGCCUGAUGCAGCAACGCCGCGUGCGGGAUGACGGCCUUCGGGCUGUAAACCGCUUUCGCCUGUGGCGAAGCGUGAGUGACGGUAAUGGGUAAAGAAGCACCGGCUAACUACGUG